CGGUGGAGCCAUUCAAGUGUCCAGCUUGUUCUCCAGAUAUGCUGCUAUAUCUGUGGAUGGCAAUAGAAAACAUUAUCGUUUCAGAAAGUCCAAAGGGACAGAUGAACCAUCACUUUUCGAUGGACAGGAUGCAGAAGUGUCUGCCUUUGUUGAUCAGAUAAGAAGUCAGAUGAAAAUUGUAAGGAUCUAUUCAGUUUAUUCUAAAAAAAUGUAUUUGUGUCAGGGAUGUAUGUAACACAUUAUAUCUUCUUUCAGAGGACUGGUCAUGAUGUCUGCGGGCCGGCAACAUCUACUGCAGGACGGGAAACGUCACAGAAGUCCCGGCCAAGGUGGAUGAGGAGGGCCUGGAAGUAGCUGUGUGCAGACAUGGCGUCCUGCUGCAAGGCUUGAACCACUACCGUGGUGAAAUUUAUGCCUACCCACUCUUCCUACAGAAGGAGCUGGCUGACAUUACAAAUGCAAAAUUCUUUUGUAUGGACAUCGCUUGCAAGUAUUGACCAUAUUUGCAGAAGAUGU